rnacentral:rRNA from 1 species
UACGUAGGGGGCAAGCGUUUGUCCGGAUUUAUUGGGCGUAAAGAGCGUGUAGGCGGCUAUGCAGGUCCGUUGUGAAAACUCGAGGCUCAACCUCGAGACGCCGAUGGAAACCGCAUGGCUAGAGUCCGGAAGAGGAGAGUGGAAUUCCUGGUGUAGCGGUGAAAUGCGCAGAUAUCAGGAAGAACACCCGUGGCUAAGGCGGCUCUCUAGUACGGUACUGACGCUGAGACGCGAAAGCGUGGGGAGCGAACAGG